rnacentral:rRNA from 1 species
GAUGAACGCUGGCGGCGUGCUUAACACAUGCAAGUCGAACGAUGAAGCCCAGCUUGUUGGGUGGAUUAGUGGCGAACGGGUGAGUAACACGUGAGUAACCUGCCCUUAUCUCUGGGAUAAGCCUGGGAAACUGGGUCUAAUACCGGACAGGAGCGCCUACCGCACGGUGGGUGCUGGAGAGAUUUAUCGGUUUUGGAUGGACUCGCGGCCUAUCCGCUUGUUGGUGAGGUAAUGGUUCACCAAGGCGACGACGGGUAGCCGGCCUGAGAGGGUGACCGGCCACACUGGGACUGAGACACGGCCCAGACUCCUACGGGAGGCAGCAGUGGGGAAUAUUGCACAAUGGGCGAAAGCCUGAUGCAGCGACGCCGCGUGAGGGAUGACGGCCUUCGGGUUGUAAACCUCUUUCAGUAGGGAAGAAGCGAAAGUGACGGUACCUGCAGAAGAAGCACCGGCUAACUACGUG